GAUGAACGCUGGCGGCGUGCCUAAUACAUGCAAGUCGAGCGGACAGACGAGGAGCUUGCUCCUCUGACGUUAGCGGCGGACGGGUGAGUAACACGUGGAUAACCUACCUAUAAGACUGGGAUAACUUCGGGAAGCCGGAGCUAAUACCGGAUAAUAUAUUGAACCGCAUGGUUCAAUAGUGAAAGACGGUUUUGCUGUCACUUAUAGAUGGAUCCGCGCCGCAUUAGCUAGUUGGUAAGGUAACGGCUUACCAAGGCAACGAUGCGUAGCCGACCUGAGAGGGUGAUCGGCCACACUGGAACUGAGACACGGUCCAGACUCCUACGGGAGGCAGCAGUAGGGAAUCUUCCGCAAUGGGCGAAAGCCUGACGGAGCAACGCCGCGUGAGUGAUGAAGGUCUUCGGAUCGUAAAACUCUGUUAUUAGGGAAGAACAAAUGUGUAAGUAACUAUGCACGUCUUGACGGUACCUAAUCAGAAAGCCACGGCUAACUACGUG
rnacentral:rRNA from 1 species